rnacentral:tRNA from 1 species
GGGCGGCUAGCUCAACUGGCAGAGCAACGGACUCUUAAUCCGUAGGCUGAAGGUUCGAGUCCUUCGCCGCCUACCA